AAGUCGUAACAAGGUUUCCGUAGGUGAACCUGCGGAAGGAUCAUUAUUGAAUAUCUGUGAAGGGUUGUAGCUGGCCCGUAUGGGCAUGUGCACACCCCGAUCAUCCUCUACACACCUGUGCACUCUUCGUAGGGUCGGCCGAUGGCCUCGGCUGCCGGUCGCAUUCUAUGUCUUUUACAAACGCAUCAGUUUAAGAAUGUCCUUUGCUAUAAACGCAUAAAUACAACUUUCAGCAACGGAUCUCUUGGCUCUC
rnacentral:misc_RNA from 1 species